GAUUUCUGGCCUGGUACACCUGGCCCGCCACGGUUACGUGUGUGAGUGCCGGAGUGUUCCUGCCAUCCUUCUAGAAAACGUGCCUACCCUUCACUGGGCUGGGUACGCGAUCUAGAUCUUUUACUUUGAAAAAAUUAGAGUGUUUCAAGCAGGCUUUAUGCUAUGAAUACAUUAGCAUGGAAUAAUAAUUUAGGACUUCGGUUCUAUUUUGUUGGUUUCUAGGACUGAAGUAAUGAUUGAUAGGGAUAGUUGGGGGUGCUAGUAUUCAGCGGCCAGAGGUGAAAUUCUCGGAUUCGCUGAAGACUAACUUAUGCGAAAGCAUU
rnacentral:rRNA from 1 species